rnacentral:rRNA from 1 species
UACGUAGGGUGCGAGCGUUAAUCGGAAUUACUGGCGUAAAGCGUGCGCAGGCGGUUUUGUAAGCCAGAUGUGAAAUCCCCGGGCUCAACCUGGGAACUGCAUUUGGGACUGCAAGGCUUGAGUACGGCAGAGGGGGGUAGAAUUCCUGGUGUAGCGGUGAAAUGCGCAGAUAUCAGGAAGAACACCCGUGGCUAAGGCGGCUCUCUAGUACGGUACUGACGCUGAGACGCGAAAGCGUGGGGAGCGAACAGG